AUUGAACGCUGGCGGCAUGCUUUACACAUGCAAGUCGAACGGUAACAGGCCGCAAGGUGCUGACGAGUGGCGAACGGGUGAGUAAUGCAUCGGAACGUGCCCAGUCGUGGGGGAUAACGCAGCGACAGCUGCGCUAAUACCGCAUACGAUCUGUGGAUGAAAGCGGGGGACCGAAAGGCCUCGCGCGAUUGGAGCGGCCGAUGUCAGAUUAGGUAGUUGGUGGGGUAAAGGCCCACCAAGCCAACGAUCUGUAGCUGGUCUGAGAGGACGACCAGCCACACGGGGACUGUGACACGGCCCAGACUCCGACGGGAGGUAGCAGUGGGGAAGUUUGGAAAAUGGGCGAAAGCCUGAUCCAGCAAUGCCGCGUGCAGGAAGAAGGCCUUCGGGUUGUAAACUGCUUUUGUACGGAGCGAAACGGCUCUGGUUAAUACCUGGGGCUAAUGACGGUACCGUAGGAAUAAGCACCGGCUAACUACGUGCCAGCCGCCGCGGUAAAAC
rnacentral:rRNA from 1 species